UACGCUGGCGGCACGCCUAACACAUGCAAGUCGAACGCAGUAGCAAUACUGAGUGGCAAACGGGUGAGUAUAAUGUGGGAAUCUGCCUUUUGGUUUGGAAUAACACGGGGAAACUUGUGCUAAUACCGAAUAAGCCUUUACAGGGAAAGUUUUAACGCCAAGAGAUGAGCCCGCACUUGAUUAGCUAGUUGGUAAGGUAAAAGCUUACCAAGGCAACGAUCAAUAGCUGUUCUUAGAGGAAGACCAGCCACAUUGGGACUGAGACACGGCCCAGACUCCUACGGGAGGCAGCAGUGGGGAAUCUUGCACAAUGGGGGAAACCCUGAUGCAGCGAUGCCGCGUGAGUGAAGAAGGCCCUUGGGUUGUAAAACUCUUUCGUCGGGGAAGAAAAUGACUGUACCCGAAUAAGAAGGUCCGGCUA
rnacentral:rRNA from 1 species